rnacentral:rRNA from 1 species
GAUGAACGCUGGCGGCGUGCUUAACACAUGCAAGUCGAACGAAGCUCCCAGAUCUGAUGAUUCGUCUGAAGUGAAGGGAAGACUUAGUGGCGGACGGGUGAGUAACGCGUGGGUAACCUGCCGUAUACAGGGGGAUAACAGUUAGAAAUGACUGCUAAUACCGCAUAAGCGCACAGUAAGGCAUCUUACAGUGUGAAAAACUCCGGUGGUAUACGAUGGACCCGCGUCUGAUUAGCCAGUUGGCAGGGUAACGGCCUACCAAAGCGACGAUCAGUAGCCGGCCUGAGAGGGUGAACGGCCACAUUGGGACUGAGACACGGCCCAAACUCC